AUGGUGUCACUAAGACGGUCGCCGAUGCGGAUCGCCGCCGAUUUCCCCCACCUUCACGUUCUGCGCACUGCCACGACCUGGGCAGGGUUCGCCGCAACUUCAACAGCCACUUCUUCCACACGGUGUGGAGAUCCGAGUUCCGGAGUAAAGGAAGCAGAGAUAAAACGACAGCUCAUUCAAGCGUUUUUAUUCUUAACCGUUGAUCUGUCAUUUAAAUGA